GGCACAGUCUGUCCAAUCAUCACCGGUUCCCUUGUAUUAUAGAGGAGGAUUGUAGAUAAAUUUAUUUUGCCAUGGUGAGAAAGUGUAUUGAAAUGGUUCUGCUGAAGAUAACCACCUCAUCUAAAUAUCCCCGGAGGACCCGUCUAUAAGCCCCUGGACAGUGGCUAGGGCCCCAUGGAGGCCAAAGGGCAUGACUGUAAACUGGAAAAGGCCAAGGGGAGUUUGAAAGGCAGUCAUCAAUCCUUGACAUUGGGUAUGCAUCAAAGAAGGCAAUGGCAUACCAGAAGAGACCCAUCCUUUUUGGGAUAAUGACUGGGGAUAAUUCCCUGCUUAGCUUGGCCGAGGCUGUUUUCCUGUCGGAUAAUUUAUUGAAAUGUAUUUACGUAUGUGGAACGAAAUACCGUAUCCAAGCGAUCAGUCUGCAGUGAGAAUAGCCACAAACAAUGAAAUAACCUAAAUAAAUACAGCAAUUAAAAUUUAACAGCGAACAAUAAAUCCAAUGUAACCGAUGCACUUCCCAAUAUCUUAACUUAGCAAUAUCAAAGACAAACUGAACGGCAUACUAUCCACAAAAACUGUUAAUUACUGAAACUUAUGCCUUAGACCUGGGUUGGCAGAAAGGUGAAAUGCGGACCUGUCUACUGGGACAAUUGCGAUAAGCUACACAAAAUUGGCAAUGAGCUGCUCACACUUGACUGGCACACCCCGAGCAGCGGCUAUCCUCUCACUUCAGCGUGCCGCGAGUCCCGAAAAAAGUGAAAUCAACAGCUGGACAACUCACAACUCGGCAGACACCAGCCGGAAAAUAUGGCCCGAAGUGUAUCCCUUUAACUUAAGAAUUUGCAAGUUUGGAGGAGGAGAGUUCACCGCAUCAGCUGUGGAGACUGCAGCACAAGCACGGACGUAUACAAUUGGGUAUUCAAAAUUUUGGAGAAAUGUGGUAAAGCAUACAAUUUCUCUUUGAUUUGGUUGCGCAAUGGCAGCAAUCUGCUUCUGCAGGUACUCUACAUGGUGUCUAUUUUAAUGUACCCAUUGUGUGACUGUUAUUACGUAACCAUAAUCGCCUCAGCUCGUUUUAUUCAGCCGGGACCACAGAAAAGAUGGGGAAUAGGGCGUAACGUGAAUGUGUGUGUGUGAUGCGCGUGUUUCAAAACCCCCUCCUUUGCUGAAAAACACUGGCACCCGCCGUCACCCUCUAAAUACAGGUGGGCGAUACCCUCAGUUCCAACCAGGAUGUCGUGCUCCCCGUGCAAUCCACCAGUCUAGGGUCCUGCUUUCCGCUGCAGCUUCAGCGACCAGCUCCGCGAUCUCUCUCCCUUUUCACUUCAACU